AUGAGGCACAACAUGCGCAGAUCCCAGCCCACUCUAACUGCGAGCCCACAGAAAGGAUCCAGCUGGUGGCAUACGGUGGAGGGCAGCAGUCAGAGAGCUCUGGGGCUGCAUCCUGCUCCGGUGUUGCUCUCACAGAAGGAGGACCGUGGCAGAACCAUCGCCCAUAGGCUGCAUCUUGCUGCUGCAGAGAAAGUAAGACGUCAUCUGGUUGGAGGACGAUUGGCUGGAAAUGACAGACCCCAUCGGCCUGGAGGGCAUUUCUCAGAUCCUUCACCCCCAUGAGGAGGAACGAAAGAGACAGAAAGACUGUUGGAAGAGUGAAAAAAAUGCUUUAGUGGAAAUUCUCCUGCAUCUCUCCCCUGCUUUUGCUAGUGCGGUGAAUUGGAGAUGGCUCUUCCUGCUGGCGCAUGGAAGGCCCGCGGCAUGCUGGAACUCCACAUGGAGGCAUCGAGGACUUUGAAUAGACGUGCCCCAAGUGAGAGGAGCCUCUCCCCUGCUUCCUGCUGUGAGAGAGACAGUGCAUGGAGCAGAACCAACCUGUACCUCUUGCCUUUCUAGAUUAACCCUCUAUGUGAUAAUAGUUACUUUUAUAACAUGUCUCACAUAAAACACUGAGAUUUUUGCUGCUGAGUAUGGGAAGCAAAGCCAACAUUUCACACUUGACCAACUCCUGAAAGGCAGCUCUCCAGGAAGGAGUUGAGGUGUUGAGGACAUGUGGUCUUAAGGCUCCUUCUGUAAGGCCAGGGCUGGAGGAGUAGGUGAAGGAGGACAUAAGGGCAAUACUGUCUUACUAUGGCCCCAGUCUGCUAAUGCAGCUAAGGUCACAGGAUGGUAAACAUUUGUACCAUGUGCAGGAGGUCCACAAUCGAAACCAGAAGAUUCUCAGUUCAGACUCACUUGUGAUGGAAUGAACUCCCUCUCCCACUCAGAACUGCUGAAUCCCUGUCAAUAUUCAAGAAAAUCUCAAAAUUCAUUGGUUCUGGACCCACUUCUCUCCUUAAACCUGUACUACAUCACAG
rnacentral:lncRNA from 1 species